rnacentral:lncRNA from 1 species
UUGUUUUUGCCGCGAAGCUACAAAUUGCAAAAUUUGCAAACAGCCUUAGCAUUCUGAACAGCUAAAAUAAAUCAAAGAAAAAGGUUGAAAGAUUGUUUGCGGUGGAAGCGAACUCCUCGAGUUUGAAGAGAAAUUUUUAAUGGCUCGUAUUGGACACCUCCAGUUUGAAGGCAAAUUUUAAAUGGCUCCGUGCCGAAGGCAAAAGGUUAAAGAGUUCAAGAACGAGUAACACGUGGUUACGAGGGAAAUUCGAAGGGUGGAACCUAAUCUGCCCGCAAUUAUUUUGCCGAGAGGCUUCGAAGGAGAAGGAUGUAUCGUCAGUGACUGUGUGAACAUCAAACUAUUUUUAGGAAGACUACUUUGGGGACAGACACAGCAAUCAGGACAUUAUAAACAGGCAACAGCAAUCAGGAGAUCAUAAACAGGUAGCAGCAAUCAACAACAAAGAACAGCAACCAUGGAUAAACAACAUGAACAAUCUUUUUGGGAGUAAUUACAUAAUACAAUAAAAAAUGAAAUUAUUCGUUGUAAAAUAAUUGUACAGAGUGUAUUCAGAUGUUUCAACAAAACAGAAUAGUUUAACAGCA